UUGUAAAUGAUUGUGAGUGUUUUUAUUUUUUUUGGCUGUAAUAUUAGUUGAUCAACAUCCUGUCUACAUUCUUAUCAUCUUAUCCUAGCUUCAAUUUGCAGACAGCAUCAUGAUUUGGCAUCUGCUUGCUCAAGUAAUGGUGAGCCCUUUAUAUGCACUAGAAUUAACUGGAUAAACUAAUACAUUUGAUAUGUUGUGUUGUUUAAGUAGUGUGCUUUUU
rnacentral:misc_RNA from 1 species